rnacentral:misc_RNA from 1 species
GAUCAUCCUACACUCACAUUUUUUGGAGGUUCAGAUGAAAAAUGUCCGGACAGCGAUUACUUGGAGUUGGAUUACCCGGGAUGUGGCAAAUACCUGUGUAUGAUGGCCCUCCAGUUUGUCGUGUAUAUGAUACUAGUGUUUAUGAUAGAUAGCGGGGUAAUACAGAGGCUUGUCUACAGAGCCCUGUGUAAUAAACACAGUAUUACUGACCCGGACAACGUCAUGGUUCAAGACUCUGACGUCAUUGAAGAAGAAAACAGAGUGAAUUCAACACAAAUUAGCGCCCUUAUGAAUACAGAUAAAUUGAUAAUCAAGAAUUUGAGGAAAACAUUUGGAACUUUGAACAGGUUUGAAGCCGUGAAAGAUAUCAGCGUUGGAAUAUCCGCACAAGAGUGUUUUGGAUUGUUGGGUCAAAAUGGCGCGGGCAAAACGACGACAUUUAAAAUGCUCACUGGUGACGUCAUGAUUUCAACUGGGAGGGCUUACGUCAAUGGCUAUUGCGUGGACAGCCAGCUAAAUGAGGUUCAUCGGUGUUUGGGGUACUGUCCUCAAUUUGACGCACUGAUCGAAAGCAUGACGGGAAGAGAGAUCCUCACCCUCUACGCCCGACUUCGUGGGGUGAGAGAGGAUGAGAUAAUCCGCGUGAUAGACGACUUAUUAGAAGCGGUCACGUUAAAGCAGUAUGCCAACAAGCUCUGUGGAACAUACAGUGGCGGGAACAAAAGAAAGUUGAGCACUGCGAUAGCUCUAGUAGGAGACCCACCAUUUUUGAUGCUGGAUGAACCGACAACAGGCGUGGAUCCUGCUGCUCGUAGACAAAUUUGGUCUGUCCUGUCUAAAAUCCGAGCGAGUGGAAGAACUCUGGUCUUAACUUCUCACAGUAUGGAAGAAUGUGACGCUCUAUGUACAAAAAUUGUCAUUAUGGUAAAUGGAAAAUUUGUCUGCUUUGGGAGUCCACAGCAUCUCAAGAAUAAGUUUGCCCAAGGUUAUACACUUACUAUACGUUUAGCACGUGACGAAAGCGGAAACGCAGUGAAUUCUGGUCCUAUUCGAAAUUUCCUGUUUGGCGAGUUUCCAGGAACAGGAGUCUUUGAGGAUCAACAAGGAUAUCUAGAUUUCCAGAUCCCAAAUCAAAAUUUAUCCCUGGCGAAACUGUUCAGAGAAAUGGAAAGAACAAAAUCAGAAUUCGGAGUAGCAGACUAUUCUGUUCACCAGACUUCGCUAGAACAAGUUUUCCUGUCCUUUACUAGGAAACAGGUGCCACCAAAAGAGAAGAAAGGCUCAUGUUCUUGUUGUUUCUGCUGUCGAUCAAAGCCUGGCUUUGCUGGGCAGAUCAUUAGGUCGCCGGCAAUGGCGGCGUACUGAAUGCAAUUGACACAGUCAUCUAAAUCCCUGCAUUCAAUUGCAAGUUCUACAGCUUUCGUGAACUAAAAUCAAUAAAUGUCACAGUCCUGAUUUGUAUACUCAGGAUGUAUUUUUUUUUUAACAAUUUAUUAUUAUUAAAAUACUUUU